UUUGAUCCUGGCUCAGAACGAACGCUGGCGGCGCGCCUAAUACAUGCAAGUCGAGCGAGAAGACGUAGCAAUACGUUUGUAAAGCGGCGAACGGGUGAGGAAUACAUGGGUAACCUACCCUCGAGUGGGGAAUAACUAGCCGAAAGGUUAGCUAAUACCGCGUACGCUCCUUGGACUUCGGUUCAGGGAGGAAAGCGAUACCGUGGGUAUCGCGCUCUUGGAUGGGCUCAUGUCCUAUCAGCUUGUUGGUGAGGUAACGGCUCACCAAGGCUUCGACGGGUAGCUGGUCUGAGAGGACGAUCAGCCACACUGGCACUGCGACACGGGCCAGACUCCUACGGGAGGCAGCAGUAAGGAAUAUUGCGCAAUGGGCGAAAGCCUGACGCAGCGACGCCGCGUGGGGGAUGAAGGUCUUCGGAUUGUAAACCCCUUUCGGGAGGGAAGAUGGAACGAGCAAUCGUUCGGACGGUACCUCCAGAAGCAGCCACGGCUAACUUCGUGCCAGCAGCCGCGGUAAUACGAAGGUGGCAAGCGUUGUUCGGAUUUACUGGGCGUACAGGGAGCGUAGGCGGUUCGGUAAGCCCUCUGUGAAAUCUCCAGGCUUAACCUGGAACAGUCGGAGGGGACUGCUGGGCUAGAGGACGGGAGAGGAGCGCGGAAUUCCCGGUGUAGCGGUGAAAUGCGUAGAGAUCGGGAGGAAAGGCCGGUGGCGAAAGCGGCGCUCUGGAACGUUUCUGACGCUGAGGCUCGAAAGCGUGGGGAGCAAACAGGAUUAGAUACCCUGGUAGUCCACGCCUUAACUAUGAAUACUAAGUGUCGGCGGUUUACCGCCGGUGCCGCAGCUAACGCAUUAAGUAUUCCGCCUGGGAGUACGGCGCAAGGUUGAAACUCAAAGGAUUGACGGGGCCC
rnacentral:rRNA from 1 species